AACAUAAUUGAUAUUGGAGAGAUGAAAGAGAGAGAAGAAAUGUCUCAAUUUUAAAGCAUGCUUUGUGCUAGUGGCCUAGAAUGUUAUGAACUUUUAC